UACAGAGGUCUCAAGCGUUGUUCGGAUUCAUUGGGCGUAAAGGGUGUGUAGGCGGCCAUGCAGGUCCGUUGUGAAAACUCGAGGCUCAACCUCGAGACGCCGAUGGAAACCGUGUGGCUAGAGUCCGGAAGAGGAGAGUGGAAUUCCUGGUGUAGCGGUGAAAUGCGCAGAUAUCAGGAAGAACACCCGUGGCUAAGGCGGCUCUCUAGUACGGUACUGACGCUGAGACGCGAAAGCGUGGGGAGCGAACAGG
rnacentral:rRNA from 1 species